CUUCCCGUCAUACACCGCGGCAGGGAUAAACGCUCCGUGUCACAAGUGUAGUAAGGCUGCUGCGAGCUGCCGUUGGCGCCAUUUUCAAACAGCAGAGCCUGCGAGGAUGAUAGGAUUGAAAAGCACAAUAAAAUAUUUUUUCAAUAUCCACAAAAUUUUACUGCAUUCUACGAGAAAACUCAGCUAUGAAUUUAAAUUAAUUUUUUACAUGAUUUGGGAGGAGUUAAUAAAACAGAGAAAGUGAUGCCCCGGGAAAAAGCCUACACACACCCUGCUUUUUAUGCCGACCAAGUUCCUCAGACGGCAUCACUGGCCGCGGCAAAGCAGAGGCAGCACACCACUGGAGAGCAGGUUUCUGAAGUUUCACAUCCUUCAAGGGCUGCCUGAUGGGAGUGCAAUGCAGGACCAGGCUGUCAGCUUUUCAUCUACGUCUUGAUUUUCUCCUCUCCUCGUCCUCUCUCUCCUCUUCUUUCUCUCCCCCCUUUUUUUUUUGUUGAGUAUACUGAGGCUGGCAAAGGAAGCAGCCUCAUUCUCCCUGCUUCUCUACCCAAUGCCUACAACAGUGUCCUGACAAUAUCACUUUACUUUAAAAAAAAAAACAUUUAAAAAAAUUCUGACUUCAGGAACGCCAGGAUAUGCAUAUUAACGUCCAGAACCCGACACAGCAGUCCAUGGGGUGGACUUAGAACAAGCAGGUCACCCUCAAAGCCCAAUCUGCAGAUAGCAAUGUUUACCACUGCUGGAUCGGGAUAUUCAUGUAUAAUUAUACUUUUCGGUUGUGUUUUUGGCUUAUCAUGUCAAGAUAAUUCCUGAUAGGCUUAUCGCAUUGUUUUCUGUUUUGAAUGGUGUUUUGGUGCUAAAGAUAUUGUUUUCUCUUUUUGGAAAUCAUGGUAAAAAGUAUAAUAAUUAAAAACUUAAUUUGCUAUAGUACUGCAAGUAAAAAUAUAGCUGCGUGAUACUGUUAGUAUCACGUGUGUGAAAAUUAUGGGUGUUUGGUUGAUCUGAGCAGACUGGCUGAAUUUUCAGUACACCAAUUUGGGUGUGGUGUACUUAAGAAAAGUAUUUAUAACUUUUACACUUUAAAAUACUAGGUAAAAGGUAAAAUAUUAAUUGCUAGUAUUGUUCAUUUUAAUUAGGUAAAAUUAUAUAUUUAAAACAGCAUUUGAGAAUAGAUGGUUUAUAUGGUGGUAAAAUAUUGCCACAUCACUUGUUUUUAUGUGCUGUCUUCCUUUGUGGGAUCCCUGUUUGUGGUGUCUUUGGAUUUAGUUUUAGAUGUGUGUGCAUGUUGCUAUGUUUAUAUGGCUGUUGUGCGUUUGUUGUUAAUAUUGUACAGUGAAAGUGAGCCCAUGUUUUCACAUGCCUUUUUCUCUUUUUUUUGUCUGUCCUCCUCCAUUUUGUGUAGCCCUCCAUUUUGUCAUGAACACUUGCUGAGUAAUUAAUUCAGUUUCCAAAUUCAAGCCGCUUUUUUGCAUUUUAAUAUUGAAAAAAAAACUUUUUCUAUACUUGACUUUAGAAUCUGGUAUAUAGGUUCUAAUACAAUCAAAAGAACAUAUUUUAAUGCAUUUUGUUGAAUUGUAAUUUGCAGAACUAGUUUUAUGUGUUUUUUUUUUUACAUUGUUGUGAAUUUGAAAACAUUUUUGAUGUUACUACUUUUUUAUUGUACUAUAAACCAAAUUUCUUAAGUAAUAUUUUUAAUACACUUGGGCAAAUGUCUUACUGGGAUGAGGUGAUUAAUUUUAUUGUUUAAUCAUUAAGUCAUUGUCUACCAGUGGGUGAGUCGGUAAUUUUAUAUGACCAUGACCGUCUAAUAGAUGACAUACAAGUUGUUUAUGCAUAAUGCCCUUCACAUUUGGCAGAACCAGGACAAAUCAAAAUAGACUCUUAAAAAUGAGCAAUGAUAGACACAGCAUUAUGGCUUUAAUGACAUUACAGAAUUCAGAGAAUUACAGGGACCCUGUAAUACUGGGCUGUCCUCCAAUUAGUGCUGCAAACAUAGAGACAAAAGUACUGAGCUGCAUGACAGGAUUUUAAAAUAUUGAUCAAAUUUGUAUUUUAAUUAACAACAAUUAUUUGAAUCCACCACUGAUUGCAAAGUAAACUACUGUAAAAAUUGCAAUCCAAAACAUUAUUUUAGAAAAUGUUGAAGUGAUGUAUAGUAACCUUGAACUACAGUACCAUGUUUAAACCAAAUGUUUAACCCUACUAAAUAUAAUGAAGUGCAUCUGAUAUGAAUGAUACACAUAGGAAAAUGUAUAAUUCUUGUGUUGGACUGAGAAUCUUAGAGCUAUAUGUUCAAAGAACUAAUCACACUGAGGGCCAUGGAGGCAGUGAGUGUUCCACCUUCAUUCAGACAAAUAUAGUGUAUGAAUUCAAUGAGACUAACUAGAACAUAAUCAGAAAAUAAGCCAGUUAAUAUAUAAAUAACCCAGAAAAUGAAUCGUAGCAAUAGUUAUCUGAUGUAAGUCAUCCCGAUCAGUAAAGGAUUUGUUCCAGAAUGGUACCCUUUUACCCACUAUGUGGCCAAUCUGAUCCGUUCUAACUGCACUUGACUCCAGAGUGCCCUCUAGCAGCACAUCAUGGUUUGCAGGCUCCCCAAGAUACUUUCCAAACCAUUCUGUGCUGUUUCUGGGAACUGUGGAAAUUACAUUGGGAUUCCUCAGGAGUAGCACACCGCCAUCCCCCCCAGCUUACUGUCAUUUUUCCAAUCAGCAACCAACUGCAUCCUAUAGUAAACAAAUGUUUUUGAUUGUGGGGUGAAACGUAUAAAAUGUUACAGGCUCUUGUUUGGGACUAUUAACACUUAAUACCUAUGCUGAGUGACAGAAUUUUAGGGAGGGGAAAGUAAGUGGUGGUGGGUUCUGUUGCACUCAUUAAAGAUGGAUGAAACAUCAUAUAGGGAAAGGCAUAUUAACAGGCUUUGUUUUAUGCCAUUACAUUUUGCAUAUCCUGUAAACAUACCUAUUGUAUACCAUAUAUAAACCUGUUGCUUUGCUGUAUAGCAUCAGAGGAAUGUUUCAUAUUCAUUUGGCUGGUGAGAAAAUUCUGAUAACACUUAAAGCAAUCAUCAUAAUGCAUUCAUAAAGUUUUAUCAACAUGGCUAUAACAAUUUAUUAAAAGACAUAACACGUUAUAGCCAUGUUUAUUAUGCAUUCUGAAUGCUCUAUUAAGCUCUCAUUAUAAUGGUCAGUAUAAGCCCUUAUACAUUAUAUAGCGUACUGUAGAUGAAAGCUUCAUUAAGCAUUCAUAAUGCAUAAUAAACAUAGCUAUAAUGUGUUAUGCCUUUUUAUAAAUAGCUAUAGCUGUGUUUAUAAUACUUCAUGAAUGAAUUUUAAUGCAUUAUGAAGUUAUCAAUAAUGCAUUAUACAUGAGUGCUUUAAGUAAAAUGUUGCCAAUAUUCUCAUACCAAGAAAUGUCCAGUUGUAUGUUUGGGUCGUGUAUCUGCCUCACUUGUACAUCAUUUUGUGUAAAAUAAUCUGCUAAAUAAUAUAAAUGUCUGAGUAACCUGGACUGAUUAAGUUUCUGCUGCAUAAAUACCUGUGACCUAUGCUAAGCCAUGCUAAGGAAAUGGAUGGGAAUGCACCCAUGGCAGUGACCAGAUUGGGCCAGGUGACAUAGUGUGCAGGGCUGUAGCAGCAUGUCAAUAUUGGGAGCUGGUCUCUCUCUGGGCUGCCAGUAGGGCUCUGCUGCUGCAGUCAGGCAGACAUCACUCAUCGUUGUGUCCUGGGCUUGGGGCCUGGCCCAGAGAUGUGAACAAGCGCUGCCCUAGUGACCAACGUCACCACACCUCAACAUACCUCAAUACACAUGUUAAGAUACAAGAACCCUGUGGCCGUAACUACAGACACAAACAUAAGGAUAGUUGGCUUGCAUGGGAUGUGCGAAAUACUCCUACCAACUCAGCUCAUCUCUUCAGUGUGAUACACAUUUUACCUCAGUUGCAAAUCCCUUUUUUAAAAUCAUUCAAAUGUUUGCAAAACUGCAGCAGGGUAAUAGUCAGACAUACACUAUUAAAAAAGUUGCUGUUGUUGAA